UACGUAGGGGGCAAGCGUUGUCCGGAUUUAUUGGGCGUAAAGAGCGUGUAGGCGGUUUGGUAGGUCCGCUGUGAAACUCGAGGCUCAACCUCGAGACGCCGGUGGAAACCAUCAGGCUAGAGUCCGGAAGAGGAGAGUGGAAUUCCUGGUGUAGCGGUGAAAUGCGCAGAUAUCAGGAAGAACACCCGUGGCUAAGGCGGCUCUCUAGUACGGUACUGACGCUGAGACGCGAAAGCGUGGGGAGCGAACGGG
rnacentral:rRNA from 1 species